rnacentral:rRNA from 1 species
UACAGAGGGUGCAAACGUUGCUCGGAAUCAUUGGGCGUAAAGCGCACGUAGGCGGCCCAGCAAGUGGGGAGUGAAAGCCCUCGGCUUAACCGAGGAAGUGCUUUCCAAACUACUGGGCUUGAAUACUGGAGAGGGUCGCGGAAUUCCCGGUGUAGAGGUGAAAUUCGUAGAUAUCUGGAGGAACACCGGUGGCGAAGGCGGCAUCCUGGACCGGCAUUGACGCUGAGGCGCGAAAGCUAGGGGAGCAAACGGG